GUGCAAAUGUACACUGUAAUGAAUUGCUGUAAAAAUUACAGCAAUAUUUUACAGCCGAUGGCUGUAUUUUAAUAAUACAGCAUAUUGCUGUAAAUUGCAAUGAAUUCCGGGGGCGUGGCGGUUUGAAUCAAAUUUACAGAAUAUUGCUGUAAAUUUCAAAUAUACAGAGGCAUUGUGGGAUCUCCAACGGUCAAGAUUCGAGUAGCAGCAAGAGGAGUGAUUUACAACUGUGGUAUUUAUCUGGAGAGAGGAACAAAGACGAAAGGAAAAGUGCCAUCUAAAACAACAGGCAGACAGUUCAGAAGAAACGGGUUGCGUUCAACCUACAUGUGGCCACUCUUCUGUGCAAAGUGAUGGAUUUUCAGUGGAAUUUCUGAAAUCCUCUCUUUGAAUCCUGGGAUGGAACAUCAUCUGGAGCAGAAUUGUUCUUUUU